rnacentral:rRNA from 1 species
UGGGGAAUAUUGGACAAUGGGCGCAAGCCUGAUCCAGCCAUGCCGCGUGAGUGAUGAAGGCCCUAGGGUUGUAAAGCUCUUUCACCGGUGAAGAUAAUGACGGUAACCGGAGAAGAAGCCCCGGCUAACUUCGUGCCAGCAGCCGCGGUAAUACGAAGGGGGCUAGCCUUUUUCGGAUUUACUGGGCGUAAAGCGCACGUAGGCGGACGUUUAAGUCAGGGGUGACAUCCCGGGGCUCAACCCCGGAACUGCCUUUGAUACUGGAAGUCUUGAAUAUGGUAGAGGUGAGUGGAAUUCCGAGUGUCGAGGUGAAAUUCGUAGAUAUUCGGAGGAAAUCCAGUGGCGAAGGCGCCUCACUGGACCAUUACUGACGCUGAGGUGCGAAAGCGUGGGGAGCAAACAGG